CGGACGGGUGAGUAAUGUCUGGGAAACUGCCUGAUGGAGGGGGAUAACUACUGGAGACGGUAGCUAAUACCGCAUAAUGUCGCAAGACCAAAGAGGGGGACCUUCGGGCCUCUUGCCAUCGGAUGUGCCCAGAUGGGAUUAGCUUGUUGGUGGGGUAACGGCUCACCAAGGCGACGAUCCCUAGCUGGUCUGAGAGGAUGACCAGCCACACUGGAACUGAGACACGGUCCAGACUCCUACGGGAGGCAGCAUG
rnacentral:rRNA from 1 species